ensembl:lncRNA
ACAGGUAAAACCUACAGGAGGGUAGCUCUCCAGGAACAGGGUUGGAGGUAAAACCUACAGGAGGGUAGCUGUCCAGGAACAGGGUUGGAGGUAAAACCUACAGGAGGGUAGCUGUCCAGGAACAGGGUUGGAGGUAAAACCUACAGGAGGGUAGCUCUCCAGGAACAGGGUUGGAGGUAAAACCUACAGGAGGGUAGCUCUCCAGGAACAGGGUUGGAGGUAAAACCUACAGGAGGGUAGCUCUCCAGGAACAGGGUUGGAGGUAAAACCUACAGGAGGGUAGCUGUCCAGGAACAGGGUUGGAGGUAAAACCUACAGGAGGGUAGCUCUCCAGGAACAGGGUUGGAGUUAAAACCUACUGGAGGGUAGCUGUCCAGGAACAGGGUUGGAGAUAAAACCUGCUGGAGGGUAGCUGUCCAGGAACAGGGUUAGAGUUAAAACCUACAGGAGGGUAGCUGUCCAGGAACAGGGUUGGAGAUAAAACCUACUGGAGGGUAGCUGUCCAGGAACAGGGUUGGAGUUAAAACCUACUGGAGGGUAGCUGUCCAGGAACAGGGUUGGAGUUAAAACCUACAGGAGGGUAGCUGUCCAGGAACAGGGUUGGAGGUAAAACCUACGGGAGGGUAGCUGUCCA